GAGGAGCUGUUCUGAAUCUGUUUGCUUUGACAUUCUGAGCAGAAGUAAUCCAAACAGGAGUUCAGUGAAUGGACAAACCCUGGGGCAUCUUGCAACCUGAUGCUUGUUUGUCUUCUUAAGCUAGCAGUCCUACUGCUUCUACAUCAACUGGCGAGGCAGCUUGGAAGAAUCUCUGAGUACUCCCCGUACAAUGAGCACAGCACAAACAAAAGAUAUCGUGGUGUCUCUGUAUCCACAUCAGCGCCCAGGAUCUGUGCUGAAGAGAUCUCUGUGGCGGUACACACAUCUCACUGACGAGGGCUGGCAGAACGGAUGCUUCCUGGACAAACAGCGCCUUCUGCUGGGCAGCCUGGUACUGCUGGCCCUGUGUGGCAUGGUGCUGCUUCUGUUGUGGAACUACCAGUGCUUCAUUGUUAACCACAUGUGCCAGGACCCAGAGCAUAGUUCGGAGUAUGUGCUGUUUGAUAUGGAUCAGCAAAUGCUUUCUUCAUAUGGCCAAGCCUGAAGCUGUGAUGCUGUAUAAAGCAGCUUAUAAAGACUGUUCCAAAGGGCACACAGAGACUGAGGUUGGGGGGAGAGAAACAGGGUUUAUAAAAUGCACAGAGCCCUAUAUCUACUUUUGAGAUAUUCAUUUUAUCUUUAACCUGACACACAAACACACACACGCACACGCACACACACACACACACACACACACACACACACACACAUAUAUAUAUAUAUAUAUAUAUAUAUAGGCUGCAGUAAUGUAUAGUGAAUCAUUAGUAGCACUUGUAGACAUAUGAAUAUAAAUUGGAAUGUAAAUAGUUGUUGAAUUAUAAUAGCUCUGUUCAAUGAUUCAUAUUGUCUGUGGUUAUAAUUUGUGUUUACAUCGCAUAAGGCAUGCACUUAAAUUUUAAAUAAAUCCUCCUGGCACACAAGCAGUCAUUUUCUAUGACAUAUAUAUGCAUCUACUCAUGGUUUCCGAUACAUUUUCUGCACUGCAGUAUGAGCGAAGUGCAACAAUGGUCAUGUUACACACCUUUGAUGUUUUUGCAAUUUGUUUACAAUCCUGGUGACUUUUUUUUUUUUUUUUUGCAGAAUCCAGAGAUAAGCGUUUUCUUGUUUGACGCAACACAACCUGCCAUGUAGCCCAGUUUCAGCACUUCACAGACAUCUGCACUUCAGACAGCGUAAACCACACAUUCAAAAAAUGAAAAAACAAAAACAGAAGCCAUUGUAGCUUUCAUCAAAGCAUGAACUUUAUACAAUGCACAGCUUCCAAGUAUGAGUGCAAAUGGCUGUCAGACACAAAAUGCAGUGAGGUUUUUGUGAUAAAAGUUGACAAAAUAGACUAGUGGGGGCAGUUGUCACAGGCGUGUUUUCACAAGGGUUAUAUCUCAGUAAAUAAAAGUUAGAUUUAGAAGUUUGUGUGUGUGUGUGCUCUUUUAAGAAGCAGUUUACAAAUGGAGAUCAAAAUGUUCUAUAAAUAGCUACUUGAUUUUCUCUGAAAUUUUGUUAAUCUUCUUCACCACUCAAAAUGUGAAGGAAUAUAAGCUGCAUGUAGAAUAAUUCUGUGAAUUUUGUCUUCCUAAGUAAAAUUAUAAUAUUAUAAUCAUAUAAUCAACCACACUAGUAUACUGUACAUUUACAGAAUUCAACUAUAUAAUAAAGGUGGAUUUUAAAUC